rnacentral:lncRNA from 1 species
GCUUCCUUGUUUUGGACCUGGGGCCCUGGAAAAGGGUUAUUGUUUGGGUUUUUUUCCUCUCGUUCAGGUCUAUCAUCUUUAGGAACGAUCUCCUCCCUUGUAGCAGAUAAUCAUAAAGUGGAGACACCUUCCAGCCUAUUUUUCCCUUCCCCCCUUUCCCUUCUCCACUCUCCCCAUCUGUUCCUGUCAUCCAACUAAUAAUAAUGUGCUUGGCUGUCACCUGGAUGUUGAAGCAGGUGUGCUGCUGUGAGGGCAGAGCUGCUUCUGGGAGAAGUUUCCCUCCUCGACACUGUUCUUUUAGCUUCUCCUCUGGACUCAGAGAAAGAGUGGUGGGAGGUGACUUCCCCAGGCAAUAAUGAUCUGGUCAGGAUUCAGCCAGAGAGUUGUGGGUCUCCUGUUUUCUUUUUUCUUUCUUUUUUCUUUCUUUCUUUCUUUCUUUCUUUCUUUCUUUCUUUCUUUCUUUCUUUCUUUUUCUUUCUUUCUUUCUUCUUUUCUUUCUUUCUUUCUUCUUUCUUUCUUUUCUUUCUUUCUUUCUUUCUUUCUUUCUUUCUUUCUUUCUUUCUUUCUUUCUUUCUGUCUUUCUUUCUCUCUGUCUUUCUUUCUCUCUGUCUUUCUGUCUUUCUCUUUAUUUUCAGUCUUAGUAACAACUCUAAGACAGAAGGGCAAAUGCUAGACAAACAGUUAAGUGAUUUGCCCAGGUUCACACAGCUAGGUAGUAACUGAGGUCACAUUUGAACCUAGGUCCUCCUGACUCUAGGCUUGGUGCUCUCUCCACUGUGCCCCCUAGUUGUCCCCUCCUGAUUUUUUUAGAGACUUUGGGGGAGCAUAGAUUGGGAGCACAUGGCAUCCAUAGAGGGCUGUAUAGUCAAAGCUCCACCCUAGCCCAAGACAUGCUCCACUGGAUUCUUUUAUGCCAGUCAGUCAAUAAGCAUAUAUUAAGUGCCUACUAUGUGCCAGUUAGGCAACUAGGUGAUACAGUGGGUAGAGCAUCAAGCUGUAAAAUGGAGAUUUGAACCCCAGACUUCAAUUCCCAGAAGUCCCUGGUAGUUCCCAGAAUUCCCUAUAAUUUCACCUUGAGUCCUCACCUGAGUGCAAGAACACAAUUUGUAUUUAAACUGACUCUCUGCCUGCUUCAGCCCUUUCUCUGCUUUCGCUUCUAAUCACACGCGUCUCUCAAGAUGUAGACCCUUCUCAAUCCGGCUCCUGUUGCCUGCAAUCUAGACCUGUUUGAUUCAGAUUGCUCACCUGGUCCCAGCCCUGCUUUCUCUCUUGCUCACCUGGCCCAGUUGCUGCCUGCAAUCUGUACCCAGACUGUUCUCCUGGUCUUGAACCGCCCAGCCCCAGCAACUGGCCUCUGACCCAGAUGGCUCAUUGCCCCAGGCCCAGCCCCAGGACCCAGGCUGCUGGUAGCAGACCCAAUUUCUUCAGCAUCCAAAACAAGCUGGUAAAAAAACGGGGGUGAUUUUUCCUUAGGCUACGAUUAGCCUCCAUGUGGCAAGGGGCAGGGGAUAGCAGAGGGGGAGAAAGAGGAGAAGGAAGAGACAUUUCCAAACAGGAUGUUGAUUACAAGUAUGGAGUAUUUAAGAGGAUAUCUUUUGACUGUACUGAAACUUUCAUUUACUUCACCUGAGAUUCAGCGAAAAAAUUCAACUCCCUGCAACUCUUUAGCCAAA